GGAAUAUUGCACAAUGGGGGAAACCCUGAUGCAGCCAUGCCGCGUGUGUGAAGAAGGCCUUCGGGUUGUAAAGCACUUUCAGUAGGGAGGAAAGGUUGCAGUUUAAUAAACUGUAGCUGUGACGUUACCUACAGAAGAAGGACCGGCUAACUCCGUGCCAGCAGCCGCGGUAAUACGGAGGGUCCGAGCGUUAAUCGGAAUUACUGGGCGUAAAGCGUGCGCAGGCGGUUUGUUAAGCGAGAUGUGAAAGCCCUGGGCUCAACCUAGGAAUAGCAUUUCGAACUGGCGAACUAGAGUCUUGUAGAGGGGGGUAGAAUUCCAGGUGUAGCGGUGAAAUGCGUAGAGAUCUGGAGGAAUACCGGUGGCGAAGGCGGCCCCCUGGACAAAGACUGACGCUCAUGCACGAAAGCGUGGGGAGCAAACAGGAUUAGAUACCCUUG
rnacentral:rRNA from 1 species